GCCCGGAUAGCUCAGUCGGUAUAGCGUCGGACUUCCAAUCUGAGAGAUCGGGGUUCGAGCG
rnacentral:tRNA from 1 species